CGAAAGCAUGGGUAGCGAAGAGGAUUAGAUACCCUCGUAGUCCAUGCCGUAAACGAUGUGUGUUAGACGUUGGAAAUUUAUUUUCAGUGUCGCAGCGAAAGCGAUAAACACACCGCCUGGGGAGUACGACCGCAAGGUUAAAACUCAAAUGAAUUGACGGGGACCCGCACAAGUAGUGGAGCAUGUGGUUUAAUUCGAAGAUACGCGCAGAGCCUUACCAACACUUGACAUGUUCGUCGCGACUCUAAGAGAUUAGAGUUUUCGGUUCGGCCGGACGAAACACAGGUGCUGCAUGGCUGUCGUCAGCUCGUGUCGUGAGAUGUUGGGUUAAGUCCCGCAACGAGCGCAACCCUCACUUUUAGUUGCCAUCAUUAAGUUGGGCACUCUGAAAGAACUGCCAGUGAUAAGCUGGAGGAAGGUGGGGAUGACGUCAAGUCCUCAUGGCCCUUACGUGUUGGGCUACACACGUGCUACAAUGGUAUCUACAACAGGAAGCAAGACUGCAAGGUCAAGCAAAUCCUAAAAAGAUACCUCAGUUCGGAUUGCACUCUGCAACUCGAGUGCAUGAAGCUGGAAUUACUAGUAAUCGUGGAUCAGCGUGCCACGGUGAAUGCGUUCCCGGGUCUUGUACACACCGCCCGUCACACCAUGGGAGUUGGUUCUACCUUAAGGCAAGGUUUUAAACCCUUGACCACGGUAUAGUCAGCGACUGGGGUGAAGUCGUAACAAGGUAACCGUA
rnacentral:rRNA from 1 species